ACUCCGGUAGUAUAACUACAACUCCUAAAUACAUUGCUUUUUCAUAGCAGAGAUCUAUCCACUAGUCAGAGAG
rnacentral:tRNA from 1 species